UUUUGUUUAAGUAAUUCGCUAUUUUCAUUUUAUAUUUAUAUCAAUCUCUCUCUCUUUUUUUUUUUGGAUAAUACAUCUGUAUAUGCAUCUGGUUUUAGACCGCUUACAUUUUACUUUCUUGUUUGGUUGCUGGGAAAAUGUGGGAAAUAAUCGAAAUUGCAAAUUUAAAUGGUUUUUUUUUUCCCCUUCUGGACCUGGAUAAUAUGAGCAUAUGAAUUUGUUUUCUUUUCUUUCUUGUUUUCUGUUAGUAGCUCCAGGUUUGUGAGAACCUCAAAGUACAUGGGCUUUACUUGUUCUCUGAUUUCUUUUUUUCCUGUUAGAUUAGAGCCUUCCGUCUUCCAUAUCCGUUAAGAUUAUGCACAAUUUUCUGGUAGAUUUUGUCACUUGACUGAAAAUUAUCAUUUAAUUUUUGGAUGAGAAUUGAGAAAGAUUGUAUGAAUUCAUUGAUUGCAGUCACGGGCAUCUUUGAGAACAAUUAGAUGAAAUAACUACUUAUGAGAUUUUUGGUUUGAGUAUUGGAAAAAUCCAAUUUCUGAGUGGCUAUUGGAAAACCCACUUAGAGUUUCCAGGUCAAAAGUGGAAACACACACACACACACACACA
rnacentral:misc_RNA from 1 species